rnacentral:rRNA from 1 species
AUUGAACGCUGGCGGCAGGCUUAACACAUGCAAGUCGAGCGGUAACAGAGAGAAGCUUGCUUCUCUGCUGACGAGCGGCGGACGGGUGAGUAAUGCCUAGGAAUCUGCCUAGUAGUGGGGGAUAACUUGCCGAAAGGUAAGCUAAUACCGCAUACGUCCUACGGGAGAAAGGAGGGGACCUUCGGGCCUUUCGCUAUUAGAUGAGCCUAGGUCGGAUUAGUUAGUUGGUGAGGUAAUGGCUCACCAAGACCGCGAUCCGUAACUGGUCUGAGAGGAUGAUCAGGCACACUGGAACUGAGACACGGUCCAGACUCCUACGGGAGGCAGCAGUGGGGAAUAUUGGACAAUGGGGGGGAACCCUGAUCCAGCCAUGCCGCGUGUGUGAAGAAGGUCUUAGGAUUGUAAAGCACUUUAAGUUGGGAGGAAGAGCAGUUAACUAAUAUUUGACUGUUUUGACGUUACCGACAGAAUAAGCACCGGCUAACUUCGUG